rnacentral:sRNA from 1 species
UACUUUCUUGGGCUUCAGACCUGGUAGC